CCGAUCGAACGUUACAGCAAGAGCGGAAGGAGGCGACAGAAGGUUGCGACGAUCCGUGGCAGACCGGGGGGGGGGCGUGGAACGUUGGGAGCCCCCAGUGGAACCCUGCGACGGUCUAGUGGUGUCGGGAGGGCGGGGAUGGAACCUUGCAACAUGGUGGCGGCGGGAGGGACCCACGCGGGAUCGAGGGCUCACAACCUGCCCCGUCCCCGCACCUGCGCGAUCGCUCAAACGGGCGGGCGGCUGCUGCUGGAAGCAUGACUCGCCCCCCAACAGGAGGGGGAAGGGAUCCCUUUGGAAACAAAGAAGAUGAUCUAACAACUUAUGUGGCUGCAAACCCCCCAGCAUAACAAGAACCAGUUGUUAAAAGCCAGACAAAUUCCAGCUGGAAAUAAGGAACGGGUUUUUCUCCCUGAGGCUGAUUAACCAUUGAGACAAACUGCCUGGGGAAGUGUUGGUUGCUCCUCUCCAUGACUUCCAGUCAAGCCAGGAUGCCUUUUGAGAUGUUAUUAGAGUCGGUGCAGGGGGACCAGGGUGAACUCACUGGUCUGGGUUACAAGGAGGUCAGACUAAAUGAUGGAAUGGUCCCUUCUGCGGUUGGAUGGUCUGAAGCUGAAUUUUGAACAUGCAGAUGAUUGACAA